AGUGAACGCUGGCGGUAGGCCUAACACAUGCAAGUCGAACGGCAGCACAGUAAGAGCUUGCUCUUACGGGUGGCGAGUGGCGGACGAGUGAGGAAUACAUCGGAAUCUACUUUUUCGUGGGGGAUAACGUAGGGAAACUUACGCUAAUACCGCAUACGACCUACGGGUGAAAGCAGGGGAUCUUCGGACCUUGCGCGAUUGAAUGAGCCGAUGUCGGAUUAGCUAGUUGGCGGGGUAAAGGCCCACCAAGGCGACGAUCCGUAGCUGGUCUGAGAGGAUGAUCAGCCACACUGGAACUGAGACACGGUCCAGACUCCUACGGGAGGCAGCAGUGGGGAAUAUUGGACAAUGGGCGCAAGCCUGAUCCAGCCAUACCGCGUGGGUGAAGAAGGCCUUCGGGUUGUAAAGCCCUUUUGUUGGGAAAGAAAAGCAGCAGGUUAAUACCCCGCUGUUCUGACGGUACCCAAAGAAUAAGCAACGGCUAACUUCGUG
rnacentral:rRNA from 1 species